UACGAAGGGGGCUAGCGUUGUUCGGAAUUACUGGGCGUAAAGCGUGCGCAGGCGGCUUCUCAAGUCAGGGGUGAAAGCCCAGAGCUCAACUCUGGAAUUGCCUUUGAGACUGAGAGACUUGAGUGCGGGAGAGGUGAGUGGAAUUCCCAGUGUAGAGGUGAAAUUCGUAGAUAUUGGGAAGAACACCGGUGGCGAAGGCGGCUCACUGGCCCGUAACUGACGCUCAGGCACGACAGCGUGGGGAUCAAACAGG
rnacentral:rRNA from 1 species